GAUGAACGCUGGCGGCGUGCUUAACACAUGCAAGUCGAACGGGAAACCUUUUAUUGAAGCUUCGGCAGAUUUAGCUGGUUUCUAGUGGCGGACGGGUGAGUAACGCGUGGGUAACCUGCCUUAUACAGGGGGAUAACAGUCAGAAAUGGCUGCUAAUACCGCAUAAGCGCACAGAGCUGCAUGGCUCAGUGUGAAAAACUCCGGUGGUAUAAGAUGGACCCGCGUUGGAUUAGCUGGUUGGUGGGGUAACGGCCCACCAAGGCGACGAUCCAUAGCCGGCCUGAGAGGGUGAACGGCCACAUUGGGACUGAGACACGGUCCAGACUCCUACGGGAGGCAGCAGUGGGGAAUAUUGCACAAUGGGGUAAACCCUGAUGCAGCGACGCCGCGUGAAGGAAGAAGUAUCUCGGUAUGUAAACUUCUAUCAGCAGGGAAGAUAAUGACGGUACCUGACGAAGAAGCCCCGGCUAACUACGUG
rnacentral:rRNA from 1 species